UACAGAGGUCUCGAGCGUUAGGCGGAAUCACUGGGCUUAAAGCGUGUGUAGGCGGAUCGUUAAGUGCCUUGUGAAAUCCCACGGCUCAACCGUGGAACUGCUUGGCAUACUGGCGGUCUUGAGCAACCUAGGGGCGAGCGGAACAAAUGGUGGAGCGGUGAAAUGCGUAGAUAUCAUUUGGAACGCCAAUGGUGAAAACAGCUCGCUGGGGGUUUGCUGACGCUGAGACACGAAAGCCAGGGGAGCAAAUGGG
rnacentral:rRNA from 1 species